GGACCCCUAGCCACAACUCGAUCAAUAUCCACUUCAUAGCAUAAUCUAACUAGGAAUCACUUUUUCCCUAUUUUCAUAAUUGAUACACCCCAAUGGGUGCCAGAGAUUAACGACUAUAUUGUGCAUGGAUUGAAAUUAAACACCACUUGUUGUAAGAAAUGAUCCCACUAGAUAAUAUUCAUAACCCCAUUCUCCCCUUACC
rnacentral:lncRNA from 1 species